GUGGGGAAUAUUGGACAAUGGGCGCAAGCCUGAUCCAGCCAUGCCGCGUGAGUGAUGAAGGCCUUAGGGUUGUAAAGCUCUUUCAGUGGGGACGAUAAUGACGGUACCCACAGAAGAAGCCCCGGCUAACUUCGUGCCAGCAGCCGCGGUAAUACGAAGGGGGCUAGCGUUGUUCGGAUUUACUGGGCGUAAAGCGCACGUAGGCGGGUCGUUAAGUCAGGGGUGAAAUCCUGGAGCUCAACUCCAGAACUGCCUUUGAUACUGGCGACCUAGAGUCCGGAAGAGGUGAGUGGAACUCCUAGUGUAGAGGUGGAAUUCGUAGAUAUUAGGAAGAACACCAGUGGCGAAGGCGGCUCACUGGUCCGGUACUGACGCUGAGGUGCGAAAGCGUGGGGAGCAAACAGGAUUAGAAACCCCGGUAGUCC
rnacentral:rRNA from 1 species